CGGUUAUCGCGCCAGCGGUACAGCCGGGUAGCUAAGUGCGGAAAGGAUAACCGCUGAAAGCAUCUAAGCGGGAAACCAGCCUCAAAACCAGGCUUCCCUUGAGAAUCGUGGAAGACCACCACGUCGAUAGGCUGGAUGUGGAAGCGCAGUAAUGUGUGAAGCUUACCAGUACUAAUCAUUCGAUCGAU
rnacentral:rRNA from 11 species